rnacentral:tRNA from 1 species
GCAGUGGUGGUUCGGUGGUAGAAUCCUUGCCUUCGUCGUGGGAGACCUGGGUUUGAUUCCUGGCCGGUGCA